rnacentral:rRNA from 1 species
GACGAACGCUGGCGGCGUGCUUAACACAUGCAAGUCGAACGGAAAGGCCCUGCUUUUGUGGGGUGCUCGAGUGGCGAACGGGUGAGUAACACGUGAGUAACCUGCCCUUGACUUUGGGAUAACUUCAGGAAACUGGGGCUAAUAACGGAUAGGAGCUCCUGCUGCAUGGUGGGGGUUGGAAAGUUUCGGCGGUUGGGGAUGGACUCGCGGCUUAUCAGCUUGUUGGUGGGGUAGUGGCUUACCAAGGCUUUGACGGGUAGCCGGCCUGAGAGGGUGACCGGCCACAUUGGGACUGAGAUACGGCCCAGACUCCUACGGGAGGCAGCAGUGGGGAAUAUUGCACAAUGGGCGGAAGCCUGAUGCAGCAACGCCGCGUGCGGGAUGACGGCCUUCGGGUUGUAAACCGCUUUCGCCUGUGACGAAGCGUGAGUGACGGUAAUGGGCAAAGAAGCACCGGCUAACUACGUG